CUCGUUCAGCUCCCUCUGCCUGCGUUGAACCAGCUCUUUCAGCUCCUCUGCCUGCGUUGAACCAGCUCUUUCAGCUCCCUCUGCCUACGUUGAACCAGCUCUUUCAGGUCCUCUGCCUGCGUUGAACCAGCUCUUUCAGGUCCUCUGCCUGCGUUGAACCAGCUCUUUCAGGUCCUCUGCCUGCGUUGAACCAGCUCUUUCAGGUCCUCUGUCUGCGUUGAACCAGCUCUUUCAGCUCCUCUGCCUGCGUUGAACCAGCUCUUUCAGGUCCUCUGCCUGCGUUGAACCAGCUCUUUCAGGUCCUCUGCCUGCCUUGAACCAGCUCUUUCAGGUCCUCUGCCUGCGUUGAACCAGCUCUUUCAGCUCCUCUGUCUGCGUUGAACCAGCUCUUUCAGGUCCUCUGCCUGCGUUGAACCAGCUCUUUCAGGUCCUCUGCCUGCGUUGAACCAGCUCUUUCAGGUCCUCUGCCUGCGUUGAACCAGCUCUUUCAGGUCCUCUGCCUGCGUUGAACCAGCUCUUUCAGGUCCUCUGCCUGCGUUGAACCAGCUCUUUCAGGUCCUCUGCCUGCGUUGAACCAGCUCUUUCAGGUCCUCUGUCUGCGUUGAACCAGCUCUUUCAGGUCCUCUGCCUCCGUUGAACCAGCUCUUUCAGCUCCUCUGCCUACGUUGAACCAGCUCUUUCAGCUCCUCUGCCUGCGUUGAACCAGCUCUUUCAGGUCCUCUGUCUGCGUUGAACCAGCUCUUUCAGCUCCUCUGUCUGCCUUGAACCAGCUCUUUCAGGUCCUCUGCCUGCGUUGAACCAGCUCUUUCAGGUCCCCUGCCUGCGU